GCACCACGAGGGUUAUACUGUCUCCUUUUUCCAAUCAAUGAAACUGAUUUCCCCGUGAAGAAGCGGGGAUAAGCCUAUAAGACGAGAAGACCCUAUGGAGCUUCAAACAACAAUAGCACUGGCCCUCAUUUUUACGUCAAUAGACACAACCAUUAUUCUGGCCAGCAUGACUAUUAGUUUUAGGUUGGGGUGACCGCGGAGCAAAAAUUAACCUCCACAUUGAACGGAGCUUCUCCUGAGCUAAAAAGCAACGAUUUUAAGCACCAAUAAAUUGACAUUAAUUGACCCAACAUGUUGAGCAACGAACCAAGUUACCCUAGGGAUAACAGCGCAAUCCAUUUCAAGAGCCCACAUCGACAAAUGGGUUUACGACCUCGAUGUUGGAUCAGGGUAUCCCAGUGGUGCAGCCGCUACUAAAGGUUCGUUUGUUCAACGAUUAAAACCCUACGUG
rnacentral:rRNA from 1 species